AGAGUUUGAUCAUGGCUCAGGACGAACGCUGGCGGCGCGCCUAACACAUGCAAGUCGAACGAGCGAGAGAGAGCUUGCUUUCUCGAGCGAGUGGCGAACGGGUGAGUAACGCGUGAGGAACCUGCCUCAAAGAGGGGGACAACAGUUGGAAACGACUGCUAAUACCGCAUAAGCCCACGGGUCGGCAUCGACCAGAGGGAAAAGGAGCAAUCCGCUUUGAGAUGGCCUCGCGUCCGAUUAGCUAGUUGGUGAGGUAACGGCCCACCAAGGCAACGAUCGGUAGCCGGACUGAGAGGUUGAACGGCCACAUUGGGACUGAGACACGGCCCAGACUCCUACGGGAGGCAGCAGUGGGGAAUAUUGCACAAUGGGGGAACCCUGAUGCAGCGACGCCGCGUGGAGGAAGAAGGUCUUCGGAUUGUAAACUCCUGUUGUUGAGGAAGAUAAUGACGGUACUCAACAAGGAAGUGACGGCUAACUACGUGCCAGCAGCCGCGGUAAAACGUAGGUCACAAGCGUUGUCCGGAAUUACUGGGUGUAAAGGGAGCGCAGGCGGGAAGACAAGUUGGAAGUGAAAUCCAUGGGCUCAACCCAUGAACUGCUUUCAAAACUGUUUUUCUUGAGUAGUGCAGAGGUAGGCGGAAUUCCCGGUGUAGCGGUGGAAUGCGUAGAUAUCGGGAGGAACACCAGUGGCGAAGGCGGCCUACUGGGCACCAACUGACGCUGAGGCUCGAAAGUGUGGGUAGCAAACAGGAUUAGAUACCCUGGUAGUCCACACCGUAAACGAUGAUUACUAGGUGUUGGAGGAUUGACCCCUUCAGUGCCGCAGUUAACACAAUAAGUAAUCCACCUGGGGAGUACGACCGCAAGGUCGAAACUCAAAGGAAUUGACGGGGGCCCGCACAAGCAGUGGAGUAUGUGGUUUAAUUCGACGCAACGCGAAGAACCUUACCAAGUCUUGACAUCCUGCGACGAUGCUGGAAACAGUAUUUUCCUUCGGGACGCAGAGACAGGUGGUGCAUGGUUGUCGUCAGCUCGUGUCGUGAGAUGUUGGGUUAAGUCCCGCAACGAGCGCAACCCUUAUGGUCAGUUACUACGCAAGAGGACUCUGGCCAGACUGCCGUUGACAAAACGGAGGAAGGUGGGGAUGACGUCAAAUCAUCAUGCCCUUUAUGACUUGGGCUACACACGUACUACAAUGGCGUUAAACAAAGAGAAGCAAGACCGCGAGGUGGAGCAAAACUCAGAAACAACGUCCCAGUUCGGACUGCAGGCUGCAACUCGCCUGCACGAAG
rnacentral:rRNA from 1 species